UACGUAGGGAGCAAGCGUUGUUCGGAUUCAUUGGGCGUAAAGGGUGCGUAGGUGGCGCUGUAAGUCGGGUGUGAAAUUUCGGAGCUUAACUCCGAAACUGCAUUCGAUACUGCGGUGCUUGAGGACUGGAGAGGAGACUGGAAUUCAUGGUGUAGCAGUGAAAUGCGUAGAGAUCAUGAGGAAGACCAGUGGCGAAGGCGGGUCUCUGGACAGUUCCUGACACUGAGGCACGAAGGCCAGGGGAGCAAACGGG
rnacentral:rRNA from 1 species